rnacentral:sRNA from 1 species
UCCUUCUCUGCCUUCUCUCUACCCUUACACUCAUUUGAACCGUUGAAAUUUCAAAUAGGUGGUGUUCUUUCGCUCACGGAGUUGAGAGCUUUCCUUCUAUCCGAUUAGAUUUCCAUUUGGACGGGUGGUUGUAGGGCACUGUUGGAUUCUCACUGUGAGGGGCACGGUUAGGGCACUCUAGUUGAAUAUACUGUUUGACUUCUAAGUAAGGGGAGCUAGUUAUUUUUGUUUGAAAUUAAUUUAUGAGAUAUAUGCAUGUUGAAUCCUGAAUUGGUGUGUUGAUUUAAACUGUUAUGUACCUGUUGAGUAUAAAUUGGUUGGUGUGGUGAUGCUGGAAAUUGUGCAUGUAAAAAUGUAUUGGUUGUAAGUUGUUAUGAUGAGAAUUGGUGACUGUGGUUUUGGUUGGAUUGAGCGAUAUUUCAAAUGUGAUAUGUUUAAGGUUUGGGUUCUGUCAAAGGAGGGUUAGAUGGAAGGUAAGGUAAGUAUGCACUGUUCUGAGUAAAUUGGUAGUAGUCCAGGUCAAUUGAGGGGAGGUGACAUAGUGAUUAUGAGUAACAAAGGUCUAGGAUGAGUUUACAGCGUUGAAACAAUUUAGGGGAUCCUUUGUGACUUGUUGAGAGUCUUUCUUUGUUAGUAGGAUAGAGGAACCUUAAAAAUCUGAGUUGGCACAUCCCUGAUCAUCGAGCAGCCCUGACUUGGUCCAAUCAGUUGUGACUAGUCAUAUGUGCUAGCAUCG